AAAAGCCUCUAGCGAGUGCUGUUGCGGCCCGUACCCCAAACCGACACAGGUGGUCAGGUAGAGAAUACUAAGGCGAUCGAGUGAACUGUGGUUAAGGAACUCGGCAAAAUACCUCCGUAACUUCGGGAGAAGGAGGACCAUCUGCUGUGAAGCCCCGUGCGGGCUAGCGGUGGGUGGUCGCAGAGACCAGGCCCAAGCGACUGUUUACUAAAAACACAGGUCCGUGCGAAGUCGCAAGACGAUGUAUACGGACUGACGCCUGCCCGGUGCUGGAACGUUAAGAGGACCUGUUAAUCACUUCGGUGGUGAAGCGGAGAAUUUAAGCGCCAGUAAACGGCGGUGGUAACUAUAACCAUCCUAAGGUAGCGAAAUUCCUUGUCGGGUAAGUUCCGACCUGCACGAAUGGCGUAACGACUUGGGCGCUGUCUCGACCACAGACUCGGCGAAAUUGCACUACGAGUAAAGAUGCUCGUUACGCGCGGCAGGACGGAAAGACCCCGGGACCUUUACUACAGCUUGGUAUUGGUGCUCGGUUCGGCUUGUGUAGGAUAGGUGGGAGACUGUGAAGCGGCCACGCCAGUGGUUGUGGAGUCGUUGUUGAAAUACCACUCUGGUCGAAUUGGGUGUCUCAACCUCGGGCCAUGAUCUGGUUCAGGGACAGUGCCUGGUGGGUAGUUUAACUGGGGCGGUUGCCUCCCAAAAUGUAACGGAGGCGCCCAAAGGUUCCCUCAGCCUGGUUGGCAAUCAGGUGUUGAGUGUAAGUGCACAAGGGAGCUUGACUGUGAGACCGACAGGUCGAGCAGGGACGAAAGUCGGGACUAGUGAUCCGGCACCACCUGGUGGAAGGGGUGUCGCUCAACGGAUAAAAGGUACCCCGGGGAUAACAGGCUGAUCUUGCCCAAGAGUCCAUAUCGACGGCAUGGUUUGGCACCUCGAUGUCGGCUCGUCGCAUCCUGGGGCUGGAGUAGGUCCCAAGGGUUGGGCUGUUCGCCCAUUAAAGCGGUACGCGAGCUGGGUUUAGAACGUCGUGAGACAGUUCGGUCCCUAUCCGCCGCGCGCGCAGGAGACUUGAGGAAGGCUGUCCCUAGUACGAGAGGACCGGGACGGACGGACCUCUGGUGUGCCAGUUGUCCCGCCAGGGGCAUGGCUGGUUGGCUAUGUUCGGAAGGGAUAACCGCUGAAGGCAUCUAAGCGGGAAGCUCGUUCCAAGAUGAGGUCUCCUACCACCUUGCGUGGUUAAGGCCCCCCACAGACCAUGGGGUUGAUAGGCCAGAGAUGGAAGCCCUGUGAGGGGUGGAGUUGACUGGUACUAAUAGGCCGAGGGCUUGUUCAU
rnacentral:rRNA from 1 species